rnacentral:rRNA from 1 species
CACGUAGGGGGCAAGCGUUGUCCGGAUUUAUUGGGCGUAAAGAGCUCGUAGGCGGUUCGGUAAGUCGGGUGUGAAACCUCCAGGCUCAACCUGGAGACGCCACCCGAUACUGCUGUGACUAGAGUCCGGUAGGGGAGCGUGGAAUUCCUGGUGUAGCGGUGAAAUGCGCAGAUAUCAGGAAGAACACCCGUGGCGAAAGCGGCUCUCUGGAACGGUACUGACGCUGAGACGCGAAAGCGUGGGGAGCGAACAGG